UACAGAGGGUGCGAGCGUUGUUCGGAAUUAUUGGGCGUAAAGGGCGCGUAGGCGGUGCCACAAGUCACUUGUGAAAUCUCCGGGCUUAACUCGGAGCCUGCAGGCGAAACUGUGGUGCUGGAGUAUGGGAGAGGUGCGUGGAAUUCCCGGUGUAGCGGUGAAAUGCGUAGAUAUUGGGAGGAACACCAGUGGCGAAGGCGGCUCACUGGACCGGUACUGACGCUGAUGCGCGAAAGCGUGGGGAGCAAACGGG
rnacentral:rRNA from 1 species